ensembl:lncRNA
GAUUGGUGGGCGGGCCAGUGGCAGGUGAAAACCUCUUUUUGAUUGGCUGAAGGCAGGGUAUCAAAUCUGAAUUUGCAUUUCACUUGCUUAAAGGGGAGGGGGAGAAGCCCAGCAGCCUUCUAAAAUCUGUUUAGGGGUGUGCGUAUGCUUCUGCGCGUAUGCUUUCUUCUGACUGACCAGUCGAAGCCUCUUCCUGUGCCUUUUUAAUUAUUUCAUGCGCUAUGAGGAAGAGGAGCCGAGAGCUCCCCAAAAGCNUUUUUUUUUUUUUUUUUGGUUGGGGCGAAGGUUGAGGAGAUGGGAGCGCAGGGGGAUGACCAAACUGGAAGGAAAUAUUCGUUCUUUAGUUUGGUGUCAGAAAAGGGAAUUUUCCAAUCAGCCACACCUCAGUGUUGCGGCAAAAUAAUUCUUGGCUCCCCUGGAAACGCAUGGGCAAGGUAGGGCAGAGCUGCUGCUGCCACCACCCUCGGCUUCCUGCUGACUCUGGGCCACUCCCCGGGGACAAGAGAUUUGCAUUGACGUCCCGGGCUGUCCAGAGCUGAGCCCAUUAUGGGAGGACCUGCCUUCUGGAAGCUGCUGCUCCCUGGUGCUCAGAAAGGUACCCCGUCGGGCUCGUUCACAGCGGCUGUUUCAUUUGUGCCUCAUCCCACCCCUGCGAGGAGCGGGCCGUGGCUGAAGAGGAGGCGGAGGAGACGGAGGUGGCGUGGGCUGUAGCAUCUUCGGAGCAGGAUAAAGAAGCCCUGGAACCCGGAGGAGCUUCUGCAUCGGGAAAACGCCAUGGGAACGGAGCCUUGAGCAUUGGUGGUGGCAGAGUGAGGGUUAACCAGUGAGCCUUCCUGGGAGCUUUUUGAUGCCAGUGUGUCGGGAGCUGGGAGAUGGAGCACUCAGCCGAGCGGCCAGGACGUUCUGUCAACAUGAAAGCAGCAAAAACAGCUUGUCGGGGCUGGGAGCUGACCCUGGGCUGGGGUCAUUUUCAGGAAGGGCUUGGCAGAGGGAAGGACACCGCCAGGCAUCGGGUUGGGGGCGACGUCCAGUAACUCAUGAGGGCUCUGUAGACCCUUGAAUUUGAGAAUCGGAAAAGAAAACGCAGCUGUUUUGUGCUACUAGAGAACUCAGAGGAGCUCAGCUCUGCGAGUAGGUGACGCCCUCUCGGAGACACAGGCUCAGCUGCUGGUGGUGCUGGUGUGCGGACCAUCGUGUGGGAUGAAUGGGCGCCCGUUUGCAUGUAUUUGGAACAAAAAGAAGGAGAUGCCUGGCAGCCUGGCAGCCUGGCGCUCUGCAAUGCUGGUAGAUUAUUCAGAACCACGUGGAUGAGGGCGCCAAUGCAGGUACCGAUGGAUGUGACGUGGUCCCAGUCUUGUGAGCGAACCAUCACCAGGCUGCUUAUUGGAAACCACGCGCAGCCAGGACCAUCAGGGUGCACCUGCCCUGCCUCCCAGGUGAGCAGAGACGGGGCACGGAGCAGACUGUGGGCGCGUCCACGUUCCCAGGAACUCUUUCUCCUGUCAGAGACGAGGCUCAGAGUUGGCUCUGAGGAGCCUGAGAUCCUCGCCCAGUGAGGAAUCCAGGGCCCUUUGGAAGGGGCUGAUGUCUCUGCCUUCAAGGAAUUUGAGGAGACUCAGCCCCUCAGCAGUCCCACGGGGGGACGGCCAGGGGUGUUGGACCUGGACCGUGAAUAAAGAGGAGAGACCAGCUU